rnacentral:rRNA from 1 species
CCCUUAGAUGUUCUGGGCCGCACGCGCGCUACACUGUUCGACGCAGCGAGUCUUAACCUUGACCGAAAGGUUUGGGUAAUCUUCAGCAAAGUCGAACGUGGUGGGGAUCGAUCAUUGCAAUUAUUGAUCGUGAACGAGGAAUUCCUAGUAAGUGCAAGUCAUCAGCUUGCGCUGAUUACGUCCCUGCCCUUUGUACACACCGCCCGUCGCUACUACCGAUUGAAUGGUUUAGUGAGAUCUCUGGAUUGACGCUGGCUAGGGGGCGACCCUUGGCCAGGCUGUCGAGAAACUGCUCAAACUUGAUCAUUUAGAGGAAGUAAAAGUCGUAACA